AACAACAACAACAACAACAACUCACUAUAGCUACAUGAAUGUGUGGUGCUAUGUUACCGGGCGGACAACACAUUUUAAAGUGCACUGGAAUCGACAACAAUCCAUAUGAUAACCAGUCAGUCAGUGACCAUCGCUACUUGCCCAUACCUCUGGCAUUUGUAACACCGAAGCGGAAGAGGAACAUGAGCCCUGACUGGGAAGGUCAUCCAGCCUAUCUUUAUUUCACCCGGAGCAACUUGGGGUUCAGCACCUUGCUCAAGGGCACUUUGACAUCUGGACAGGAGGAGGCGGAGAUUGAAACACAAACUCUGCAAUUAAUGGAACCUGUUCUUCCUUCUGAACCACAGCCGCUACCCAUAAAUUAUUCUAGAAUUGUUUUUCUUUUGGAGUAUUUGUAUUGUUGAAUGAUCUGUGUUGGAUGGACUUGUGCAGUAAAAAUUAAAAAUGAUAUGGCUUUAACAUUUGCAUCUAAUAUUAAAAAUCAUUGAAGAAUGUGUGCUUCUUUCUUACAUUGGCACCACCAUGGAGUACUUGAAUGUACUGGGAUUUCUGUGCAUUGUGCUAUUAAAAUGUGCAAGAUGAAAUGUACAUAUCUAUCUAGCUGCUUUCAGAUGGCUGUAGGGAAACUAAACCGUCAAACAUCCAACAAUCAGCUGAGUCACAGACAUUUGAGAAUCAGCUCUUAUUGUAGCAUUGACACUUCUCUUCUACAUCCAACACAGUGACCUGG